rnacentral:rRNA from 1 species
GCUUGCUGGAGAGGAAAGUGGCGCACGGGUGCGUAACGCGUAUGCAACCUACCUUCAUCAGGGGGAUAGCCCGGAGAAAUCCGGAUUAAUACCGCAUAAAAUCACAGGAUGGCAUUAUCCAAUGAUCAAACAUUUAUGGGAUGGAGAUGGGCAUGCGUGUCAUUAGCUAGUUGGCGGGGUAACGGCCCACCAAGGCGACGAUGACUAGGGGAUCUGAGAGGAUGGCCCCCCACACUGGUACUGAGACACGGACCAGACUCCUACGGGAGGCAGCAGUAAGGAAUAUUGGUCAAUGGAGGCAACUCUGAACCAGCCAUGCCGCGUGCAGGAAGACUGCCCUAUGGGUUGUAAACUGCUUUUAUCCGGGAAUAAACCUAAAUACGUGUAUUUAGCUGAAUGUACCGGAAGAAUAAGGAUCGGCUAACUCCGUGCCAGCAGCCGCGGUAAUACGGAGGAUCCAAGCGUUAUCCGGAUUUAUUGGGUUUAAAGGGUGCGUAGGCGGCCUGUUAAGUCAGGGGUGAAAGACGGUAGCUCAACUAUCGCAGUGCCCUUGAUACUGAUGGGCUUGAAUGGACUAGAGGUAGGCGGAAUGAGACAAGUAGCGGUGAAAUGCAUAGAUAUGUCUCAGAACACCGAUUGCGAAGGCAGCUUACUAUGGUCUUAUUGACGCUGAGGCACGAAAGCGUGGGGAUCAAACAGGAUUAGAUACCCUGGUAGUCCACGCCCUAAACGAUGAACACUCGCUGUUGGCGAUACACAGUCAGCGGCUAAGCGAAAGCGUUAAGUGUU